AGCUUUGCGCAGUGGCAGUAUCGUAGCCAAUGAGGUUUAUCCGAGGUGUGAUUAUUGCUAAUUGAAACUUUUCCCAAAAUUAUCCUUGCGUUCUUACUAUUGCGUAAUAAAGUUUUAGCAUUAAAAUGC
rnacentral:snRNA from 1 species